UACGAUAGUAGAUGAUGUUAAAAGAUCGAUAGAAAAUUAUAUUUUACAAAUUCAAAUAGAUAAUAUUACAGAUCUUACUCUUAUUUUUUUAAGAUCUGUAAAAAAGUUUUCAGUUGCCGCAAAUUCUCGGCACAAUUUAUGUACUUCAGAACAAUGUCUUGUUUAUAUGUAUUUGAACAUGCUGAAAUGCAUGUAUGCGAAAUUACUUAUAUUAGUCGUUUCAGCAAUUCUGGCAAUCUAUUCCUCCUGUGACCAGACCAAGUUGCACUGCGACGCAAGCCCACUAGGUGUUGGUGCGACCUGAUGUAAAGAGUCUCUUUGUUCCAUUCUGUCAUUUAGAGGUGUAGCA
rnacentral:misc_RNA from 1 species